rnacentral:lncRNA from 1 species
UUUUUGGUUUCAUUCUCCUAGGGUUUCUAUUGUUUUGGACAUGCUCUCAUGGGUGCUUGCUUGGUGCACGGUUUUGGACCAUUUUCAAUGAAUAUUAUGAAGAUUUUCUUCUUCCCUUGACUCACUCUUGGUUGUCUUAACUCAUUGGUGGUGAAAAUCCAUUCAUUCCUCCUUCCAUUUGCUUGUUUUUGAUGUUUGAAGCUUGAGUUUUUAAGCUUGUCUUUGCUUUUCUAUGGUGGUUUUUGGGUUUGAGUGACUUUAGAUUUUCGUUUCCUCUUCCAUUGCUUCUGUUCCUCACGUUUUUCUUUGCAUUUUAUUUGGUUGGUUGAUGAAAAUGGAAUUCUAUGUGAGUUUUGGGUUGAAUAGAGCUUAACUUGAUGUGUGGGUGUUGUGGGUUUGGCUCUUUUCCUUCAUAUUUCGGUUUUGAUGUUUGAAAAUAGUUUGGAACCAGACUUUGAUGAUGUUAUUGGGGCUGGACAGUGGUUGAGUUGAAUGGUAUAAUGUUAUUUUCGUUUUUUGCACAAGAGCUUGAAAAAAUNGAAGAUUGGGUUGAGUUGAAGUAGUAGUAGUGUGGGUUUAUUGUCUUGAAUGGAGUUGCAACUUCAAAUGGGGUCUCUUGGGUGCUCAUUCUUGGUAUUGAGGAGAGGAAGAAAGAUUAUGAAGGUGUGUUUUGGUGAAGGAAACGAAAAUGGUGUGUAGAAAGGAGAGAGAAUGAUGCAUUAAUUUUUUUACCACUUUUGGGCAAACAAAAAAGAUGNUNAUUUUCAUUCUAGGAAGAUUUCCAUUUUGAGCUUUGGCUUUGUUUGAAUUUAAGCCAUGAAUUGCCUUUGCAUGGGAGGUCUUUGGUUGUUUAAUUUCAUUUGGUCUUGCCUACAUGGCACUUUGGUUGGAGCACACAAUGUAUCUUCCAUUUGCACAUGGGUUUUUGAANUAUUUUUUGUAGGAAUCACUUGGUAGGUUCGGCAUUUUGUGGUCUUGGAGUGUGGAUUUCGAAUUUUGCUGCAUGGAGAAGACUAAGGAAUGGUUUUCAAUUGGAUGUUUAAGUAUAUUUUAAUUUCUUUUGAGAAUUGGUGCACAUGGGACAAAAGACAACACAUUUAGAAGUUAAAUGAAAGUAGAAUUUUGAAUUUGGACCUUUGAAACAUCUCUCACAGCCAUGUGCUUUUAUUUGGCCAAUUGGACUUUUAAAUUCAUUUUUUAAUUGCCAUUGUGUCAAGUGAUUUGUUAGGAUUAAAUUAGGCUUGUUGGUUUCUUUUGUUUUCAAUUAAAUUGCUUAGUAGGUUGAGUUGUUUUUAUGUGUUUAAGUUAGUUUUG